UACGUAGGGGGCAAGCGUUGUCCGGAUUUAUUGGGCGUAAAGAGCGUGUAGGCGGCUUUACAGGUCCGUUGUGAAAACUCGAGGCUCAACCUCGAGACGCCGGUGGAAACCGUACGGCUAGAGUCCGGAAGAGGAGAGUGGAAUUCCCGGUGUAGCGGUGAAAUGCGCAGAUAUCGGGAAGAACACCCGUGGCGAAGGCGGCUCUCUGGGACGGUACUGACGCUGAGACGCGAAAGCGUGGGGAGCAAACAGG
rnacentral:rRNA from 1 species